rnacentral:rRNA from 1 species
GACAGAGGGUGCAAACGUUGUUCGGAAUUACUGGGCGUAAAGCGAGUGUAGGCGGUUUGAUAAGUCGGAUGUGAAAGCCCCGGGCUCAACCCGGGAAGUGCACUCGAUACUGUCAAGCUAGAGUAUCGGAGAGGUUGGUGGAAUUCUCGGUGUAGAGGUGAAAUUCGUAGAUAUCGAGAGGAACACCGGUGGCGAAGGCGGCCAACUGGACAAAUACUGACGCUGAGACUCGAAAGCGUGGGGAGCAAACAGG